AAUCCAUGGUGAGAACAUUUUCUAAGCAUCUCCUUGAAUCUCUCCCACGCUUGACUUAGUGUCUCUCAUCUUUAAAUUGUUGAAAAGCGCCAAAUCUCAUUUCUGAACC